rnacentral:lncRNA from 1 species
AAAUUCUAACGGUGGAUUACCGCAAUGUGAAAGUACGUUCCAGAGAUUGUCGUUGAGUUGGAUACGUUACCUUAUCACGACAGGGGCAACCAACUACAUUUGGGGAAAAGAAAUUUUCACUGAAUGUUUUGGACAUUCGGUCCUUGCAUUCAGGCCUUUCCCCAUUCUAAGCCACUUGUGCAAGUAGAUGGACCUGGUUGUACGAGAAAUAUACGCAGAUCGUCCUCAUUGCGAUUACACAAGAUGGGAACAAGAACAUUCUACUGAUAGCUUUUGCCAUCGUCGAAGGAAAGGACUUAGAGUCGUGACAAUUUUUCAUGGAGAACUUGCAGAGAUAUGUUGUC